CUGCAAUGAGAUUUGAAUUUAUCUAGAACUUGUUUCAUUCUGAAAUCCUGGAUUCAGGCUCUCAUUUGGCUCCCUAUAUACAUCAUUUAAUUGAAGAAAAAGCUUGACUUUUCCAAUAACUAUUCUAAAAGUAUAAUUGACAGUAAGCUACAAUUUAGUUAGUUUGUAUUUGCAUUUGUGAUUUUCCUGUCAUAUGUGGACUGUUUUGCAUUUGCCAUGAUUGAAUCUCAUUUUGGAAGCAGAGUUUUAAUGAAGAGCUCUUUCUCAGAUAUAGGAAAUUUAAUGAGUGAGCACUUUCUCAUGGUGUAAAAUAUUCUACCAAAACCUUAUUUCCAAUAGGAGGGUCCAGAUAAUCAAAGCUUCGGAUCUCCUAAAACCUGGCUUUGCCUCUUACUUGAGAACUUUGCAAAGAAGAAUGCUAGCCAGUGAAUGUUCAGAGAGGAAGGAAGAAGAAGCUGUCCAAUGACCUUUUUUCUUAUGGCUUUCUAACUUGAUUCUUGACACUGUCACCAAGGUGGACAUUGAAGUGGACCUAAUUCGGUUUUCCUUUUAAAAGCCCCCACAAACAAAAGUAGUUUGAAACCUAUUUAAAAU
rnacentral:lncRNA from 1 species